UACAGAGGUCUCAACCGUUGUUCGGAUUCAUUGGGCGUAAAGGGCGCGUAGGCGGCGCAACAAGUCACUUGUGAAAUCUCCGGGCUUAACCCGGAGCGGCCAAGUGAUACUGUCGUGCUAGAGUGCGGAAGGGGCUACUGGAAUUCUCGGUGUAGCGGUGAAAUGCGUAGAUAUCGAGAGGAACACCUGCGGCGAAGGCGGGUAGCUGGGCCGACACUGACGCUGAGGCGCGAAAGCCAGGGGAGCGAACGGG
rnacentral:rRNA from 1 species